rnacentral:sRNA from 2 species
GAAUGUUCUCUUGUGAAGCCCGAAGCAAUCAAUCUAUCUCAUUUUCUACCUUUUAAAGACUACCUUCUUAGUGUACAGGAAAGGGAAAAUGGUGCACCACAAGCACCAACGCGACUUGCACGGGUGAUUCCUUGGUGAAAUCUCGAGAUAUCAUCGAAUUUAAUCUGUUUUCUGUUGUUCAACCAAAAAAGAGAAAAAGUGUGCGUAACGGCCCAGAGAGAUGUAGAUGUGUUGACGAAGAAAAAAUAUAAAAAAAAAAGACCCUUACGCCUUUCGCCUUAAACCUCUAACCAUAUAAAAAAGAAGAUAAAAAUAUAUCAAAACAUAAAAUGUAUAUUGUACAAGAGGGAAAAUAAACGAAGAACCUCCUCCCCCAAAUACCAAUUGCGAGAAGGGCCAGAUCAAGCGGGCAGGGCCUCCAUAAUGUCCCUGGAGCCACCGAUUCGCUUGUAGACGGCUGCGUGGAUGGAUUGUACGGGGCCAAACGAGAAGAGUCUAUGGCUCCUGCUCGCUCGGGCGACUUCAGUGCUUGCUUUUACCCG